UACGUAGGGAGCGAGCGUUUGUCCGGAUUUAUUGGGCGUAAAGCGCGCGUAGGCGGUUUUGUAAGUCGGAUGUGAAAACUCCAAGCUCAACUUGGAGCCUGCAUCCGAAACUGCGAUGACUAGAGUCUGGUAGGGGAACACGGAAUACCUGGUGUAGCGGUGAAAUGCUUAGAUAUCAGGUGGAACACCAGUGGCGAAGGCGGUGUUCUGGGCCAGUACUGACGCUGAGGCGCGAAAGCGUGGGGAGCGAACAGG
rnacentral:rRNA from 1 species